rnacentral:rRNA from 1 species
AACGAACGCUGGCGGCAGGCCUAACACAUGCAAGUCGAGCGGGUCCUUCGGGACUAGCGGCGGACGGGUUAGUAACGCGUGGGAACGUGCCCAAAGGUACGGAAUAGCCUCGGGAAACUGAGAGUAAUACCGUAUGUGCCCCUCGGGGGAAAGAUUUAUCGCCUUUGGAUCGGCCCGCGUUGGAUUAGGUAGUUGGUGGGGUAAUGGCCUACCAAGCCGACGAUCCAUAGCUGGUUUGAGAGGAUGAUCAGCAACACUGGGACUGAGACACGGCCCAGACUCCUACGGGAGGCAGCAGUGGGGAAUUUUAGACAAUGGGGGAGACCCUGAUCUAGCCAUGCCGCGUGGACGAUGAAGGCCUUAGGGUUGUAAAGUCCUUUCAGCUGGGAAGAUAAUGACGGUACCAGCAGAAGAAGCCCCGGCCAACUACGUGCCAGCCGCCGCCGUAAUAC